rnacentral:rRNA from 1 species
UUGAUCCUGGCUCAGAAUCAACGCUGGCGGCGUGCCUAACACAUGCAAGUCGAACGCGAAAGUCCCGAAAGGGGCAAGUAGAGUGGCAAACGGGUGAGUUACGCGUGGGUGACCUGCCUUCGAGCGGGGGAUAACGUUUCGAAAGGAACUCUAAUACCGCAUGACAUCCUGCCUUUGAAGAGGUGGAGAUCAAAGCUGGUGAUCGCAAGACCUGGCACUUGAAGAGGGGCCCGCGUCCGAUUAGCUAGUUGGCGAGGUAAUGGCUCACCAAGGCUUCGAUCGGUAUCCGGCCUGAGAGGUCGGACGGACACACUGGGACUGAGACACGGCCCAGACUCCUACGGGAGGCUGCAGUGGGGAAUUGUUCGCAAUGGGCGCAAGCCUGACGACGCAACGCCGUGUGGAGGAUGAAGACUUUCGGGUCGUAAACUCCUGUCGAAUGGGACGAAUAAGACGCGGGCGAACAGCCCGCGUUUCUGACGGUACCGUUAAAGGAAGCUCCGGCUAACUCCGUGCCAGCAGCCGCGGUAAUAAGGU